CAGUUUACUGAAGGAUUAAUUUUUUGUUUUGAGAUGGAGUCUCACUCUGUCACCCAGGCUGGAGUGCGGUGGCGCAAUCUCGGCUCACUGCAACCUCUGCCUCCUGUGUUCAGGUGAUUCUCCUGCCUCAGCCUCCCCAGUAGCUGGGUUUACCGUCCAGUCUUCCCCAGCGCAGAGGCUGCACUGCACUAACGAUGAUCCGCUGCCUCACUUCUCCACGGGUCCUUCCUCCCUUUUGGUCUCCCAAAGUGCUGGGAUUACGGGCAUGAGCCACUACAUCCAGCUGCCUGCUUGCACUUCUCACUAUAAGCUGGUUCCUGCCUCCAGGCCUUCAUGUUUGCCAUUUCCUCUGUCUAGAAUCUUCCCCUGGAUCUUCCCAUGGAUCAUCUGCCUUGUCAUUCAACCUAAUGUCACCUCUUCAGAGAGGCCAGCCCUUAGCUGCUUCCCCCUUGUCCCUGCACUCUCUCUCACAGCAUUUUUCACCCCCCAGGAAUUGGCUUCUCUGUAUCCACCCUGGAAUUUCAGUUCCACAGGACAGGGA
rnacentral:lncRNA from 1 species